rnacentral:rRNA from 1 species
CCUGGGAGUGGGGAAUAACACAGAGAAAUCUGUGCUAAUACCGCAUAAUGCAGUUGAGUCGCAUGGCUCUGACUGCCAAAGAUUUAUCGCUCUUAGAUGGACUCGCGUCUGAUUAGCUGGAUGGCGGGGUAGAGGCCCACCAUGGCGACGAUCAGUAGCCGGACUGAGAGGUUGGCCGGCCACAUUGGGACUGAGACACGGCCCAGACUCCUACGGGAGGCAGCAG